GGUCAAGCGAUUAAGCGCACACGGUGGAUGCCUAGGCAGCCAGAGGCGAUGAAAGACGUGGAAGCCUGCGAUAAGGCUCGGCGAGGUGGCAAACAACCUGUGACCCGGGCAUCUCUGAAUGGGGAAACCCACCCAGCACAAGCUGGGUAUCCCGCACUGAAUACAUAGGUGUCGGGAGGCGAACCAGGGGAACUGAAACAUCUAAGUACCCUGAGGAAAAGAAAUCAACCGAGAUUCCCCCAGUAGCGGCGAGCGAACGGGGACCAGCCCUUAAGCAUGUGACUGAUUAGGCGAACGCGCUGGGAAGCGCGGCCAUAGUGGGUGAUAGCCCCGUAGUCGAAAAUCUGAUCAUGUGAAAUCGAGUAGGUCGGGGCACGUGAAACCUUGACUGAACAUGGGGGGACCAUCCUCCAAGGCUAAAUACUCCUGGCUGACCGAUAGUGAACCAGUACCGUGAGGGAAAGGCGAAAAGAACCCCGGAGAGGGGAGUGAAAUAGAUCCUGAAACCGUGUGCGUACAAGCAGUGGGAGCAGACUCGUUCUGUGACCGCGUACCUUUUGUAUAAUGGGUCAGCGACUUAUUUUCAGUGGCGAGCUUAACCGUAUAGGGGAGGCGUAGGGAAACCGAGUCUUAACUGGGCGACCAGUCGCUGGGAAUAGACCCGAAACCGGGCGAUCUAUCCAUGAGCAGGUUGAAGGUUGAGUAACAUCAACUGGAGGACCGAACCAGGAUCUGUUGAAAAAGAUUUGGAUGACUUGUGGAUCGGAGUGAAAGGCUAAUCAAGCCCGGAGAUAGCUGGUUCUCCUCGAAAGCUAUUUAGGUAGCGCCUCACGUAUCACCGCCGGGGGUAGAGCACUGUUUCGGCUAGGGGGUCAUCCCGACUUACCAACCCGAGGCAAACUCCGAAUACCGGUGAGUGCAAGCGUGGGAGACACACAGCGGGUGCUAACGUCCGUUGUGAAAAGGGAAACAACCCAGACCGUCAGCUAAGGUCCCCAAAUCCUGGUUAAGUGGGAAACGAUGUGGGAAGGCUCAGACAGCUAGGAGGUUGGCUUAGAAGCAGCCAUCCUUUAAAGAAAGCGUAAUAGCUCACUAGUCGAGUCGGCCUGCGCGGAAGAUGUAACGGGGCUCAAACCAGGUACCGAAGCUACGGGUUCGUCGAAUGACGAGCGGUAGAGGAGCGUCGUGUAAGCCGAUGAAGGUGAGUCGAGAGGCUUGCUGGAGGUAUCACGAGUGCGAAUGCUGACAUGAGUAACGACAAGGGGAGUGAAAAACUCCCCCGCCGGAAGACCAAGGGUUUCUGUUCGACGCUAAUCGGAGCAGAGUGAGUCGGCCCCUAAGGCGAGGCCGAAAGGCGUAGUCGAUGGGAAACGGGUCAAUAUUCCCGUACCUCACUGUAUUGCGAUGGGGGGACGAAGAAGGCUAGGUGAGCCAGGCGUUGGUUGUCCUGGUGAAAGCCAGUAGGCUGGGAUCUCAGGCAAAUCCGGGAUCCUAAGGCCGAGAGGCGAGACGAACUGACUACGGUCAGGAAGUCAUCGAUGCCACGCUUCCAGGAAAAGCCUCUAAGCUUCAGAUACAGUGAGACCGUACCCCAAACCGACACAGGUGGUCAGGUAGAGAAUACCAAGGCGCUUGAGAGAACUCGGGUGAAGGAACUAGGCAAAAUGGUGCCGUAACUUCGGGAGAAGGCACGCCGCAUUAGUGUGAAGGCCCUCGCGG
rnacentral:rRNA from 1 species